AGUCCAUCAUGGGGGUAUUGUUGUAACAACCUCUUGAAUCUAUCCAUGCAUCAAACAAGGUUUCUCCUUCCCUUUUCUGCAAAGCUUAUGAUUUGGUUUCUAUGAUG